AUUAUUGAAUCAUGGUAUAAGCGUAGAUUAUUGCAUACAAGUAUGUGUAAAAUAUUGUUGAUUUGGGUCACGCGUGUGGGCGCAGCAACCCAAAAUCUUUGUACAUCUAACUAAUUUUUUUCCGAUCUUUAAAUGUGUGUUAUGACGGAUGUUUGCUCUUUUGAAUCGUUAUCGGGUACGCUUAACGAAGUAGUCAGUACCAAACAUUUUUUAAAGUAUUGGGUUUCGAUUGUUAGGUACCGAAAAUUCAGCACAUUUCUAAUGUGAAAUAUGAUAUCGACGAAACGAACUUGAAACGUACGAACAUCAGAUCGGCAGCGAUCUGACGCGAUGUGCGUAUCUCUGUUGCUACAAAAUGUUGAUUGGAUAGGACAGUUUAAAGUUUUUUACUUAUGGUAAAUAGUUUUUUCGAGCAUUAGUUCCAUACAUACGAACCUUUAGUGACAUAUCUGUGAAGUAAUAAUUCGUUUAAAGUGUUUAGCUUGUGCAAGUAAAUUAUGGAGGUCAAGCAAAAAUUUUGAAUAAAUGGGUGUAUUACAAUUGUCGGGCUUGUAAGGAUGUUUUUAGAAAACAUGAUACUAUAAAUAGCAAAUAAUAUUUCGUGCUUCCACAGGCUUGUAGUAUACAUAAGUUAGUGAUAAAACAUGGUAACAAUAAUGUGUAUAAUGUAAAAAAAAUUGAGAUUUGCGUGAUUCCAAGAGGAUAAAAUUGAGUGAGAAUAGUUGAAAAAAAUACUGGAGAAUUAUGCAGUAAAUAGCCUGGAAAGCGUCCAAUCAAAAUUAGUAAGUAAAACUAAAAAUUCUGAUUUAUUUAACUAAUUUACGCCUUUGACGUCAAAAUCGCCACUUUGCCGGGGCGGCGUAUUGAAAUACUCAUUGUUUUUUCGCCCCUUACUUGCGUGAGAGAGAGAACGUGGGAGUACACAUAUGUAUAUUAAAGUACAUGUUUGUCCUCCAGCUCCUUAUACGAAGAGGCUGAAUGCAACAUAAACUGAUGGGGGCCCCGUUUCUUUCUCCCACAAAUCUUGUGCGACUUAGUCUGAGUGCUGCCACUUGAAAAUAUUUUUAGGUAUCAAAUCAGUUUCCGAACUACCAACACUUUUUUUCAUCAUUACAGCCUUAU